rnacentral:rRNA from 1 species
AUGAACGCUAGCGGCAGGCUUAAUACAUGCAAGUCGAACGGUAACAGGUCUUCGGACGCUGACGAGUGGCGCACGGGUGAGGAACACGUACACAAUCUACCUUAUACUGGAGAAUAGCCCCGGGAAACUGGGAUUAAUACUCCAUAGUCCUUAAUGAUCACAUGAGAAAUAAGUAAAGCUUCGGCGGUAUAAGAUGAGUGUGCGUCCCAUUAGAUUGUUGGUGAGGUAACGGCUCACCAAGUCGACGAUGGGUAGCUGGCGUGAGAGCGCGACCAGCCACACUGGCACUGAGACACGGACCAGACUCCUACGGGAGGCAGCAGUAGGGAAUAUUGGUCAAUGGACGAAAGUCUGAACCAGCCAUGCCGCGUGGAGGAUGACUGCCCUCUGGGUUGUAAACUCCUUUUAUAUGGGAAGAAACCUCUGGAUUCACUCCAGAGCUGACGGUAUCAUAUGAAUAAGCACCGGCUAACUCCGUG